rnacentral:rRNA from 1 species
AGCGAACGCUGGCGGCAGGCCUAACACAUGCAAGUCGAACGAACCUUUCGGGGUUAGUGGCGGACGGGUGAGUAACACGUGGGAACGUGCCUUUAGGUUCGGAAUAACUCAGGGAAACUUGUGCUAAUACCGAAUGUGCCCUUCGGGGGAAAGAUUUAUCGCCUUUAGAGCGGCCCGCGUCUGAUUAGCUAGUUGGUUGGGGUAAUGGCUCACCAAGGCGACGAUCAGUAGCUGGUCUGAGAGGAUGAUCAGCCACAUUGGGACUGAGACACGGCCCAAACUCCUACGGGAGGCAGCAGUGGGGAAUCUUGCGCAAUGGGCGAAAGCCUGACGCAGCCAUGCCGCGUGAAUGAUGAAGGUCUUAGGAUUGUAAAAUUCUUUCACCGGGGACGAUAAUGACGGUACCCGGUGAAGAAGCCCCGGCUAACUUCGUG